UAGGGAAUCUUCCACAAUGGACGAAAGUCUGAUGGAGCAACGCCGCGUGAGUGAUGAAGGGUUUCGGCUUGUAAAACUCUGUUGUUGGAGAAGAACGGGUGUCAGAGUAACUGUUGACAUCGUGACGGUAUCCAACCAGAAAGCCACGGCUAACUACGUGCCAGCAGCCGCGGUAAUACGUAGGUGGCAAGCGUUGUCCGGAUUUAUUGGGCGUAAAGCGAGCGCAGGCGGUUUUUUAGGUCUGAUGUGAAAGCCUUCGGCUUAACCGGAGAAGUGCAUCGGAAACCGGGAGACUUGAGUGCAGAAGAGGACAGUGGAACUCCAUGUGUAGCGGUGAAAUGCGUAGAUAUAUGGAAGAACACCAGUGGCGAAGGCGGCUGUCUGGUCUGCAACUGACGCUGAGGCUCGAAAGCAUGGGUAGCGAACAGGAUUAGAUACCCUGGUAGUCCAUGCCAUAAACGAUGAGUGCUAAGUGUUGGAGGGUUUUCC
rnacentral:rRNA from 1 species